GUCUUUUUGUUAAAAAUUUAAAGUCGGGCCUGCCCACUGAAAUUUUGAAUGGCCGUGGUAUUUUGACCAUGCUAAGGUAGCAUAAUUAUUAGUUUUUUAAUUGAAAGCUGGAAUGAAAGGUUUGAUAAAAAAAUGACUGUCUCUGUUUAAUUUUAUUAAAAAUUUAUUUUUAAGUUCAAAAGCUUAAUUUUAAUUAAAAGACGAGAAGACCCUAUAGAGUUUAAUAAUUUAAGAUAAUUUAUAUUUUAGAAUUAACUUAUUUAUUUUUUAAUAUUAUUUAAUUGGGGUGAUUGAAAAAUUUAAUUAACUUUUUUUAUAUUUAACCAUUAAUUUAUGAUAAUUUGAUCCAAUUUUUUGAUUAUAAGAUAAAAUUACCUUAGGGAUAACAGCGUAAUUUUUUUAGAAAGUUCAAAUUAAAAGAAAAGAUUGCGACCUCGAUGUUGGAUUAAAAUUAAAUUUUGGUGUAGAAGCUAAAAACUUUAAGUCUGUUCGACUUUUAAAAUUUUACA
rnacentral:rRNA from 3 species